GUUUUUCCUUUUCAUGUCAAAAAAGGGAUAUACGAUUUUUUUUAAAUGCUUUGAUUUUCGUUUUAUAUUUAGAAUAACAAGAAAGUAAAAUCAGUAAGAGACAGAAACGAAAAAAGGUCCGAUUUUUCAUUUUCUGAGACCGGAAGUGGUCAUCAGCAAGUGUGGAGCCAAACGACAACAAGAUUCUCGGAGGGCGGAGCCAGAGAGCAGUGAUUGGUCAGACCAUAGAUAAUAUAGAAGACAGCGCGCUAGCGUAUCUAGUCUAUGUGUAUCUAUGGUCGGCACGUCUGGUAGCAUCUCUGGCUGCUGUUGAUCUUGUUUUUGGAGUAAAACACGGUGGAAGCUGAAUUAGUGAGGAUGACUCCUGCUCCUGUCAUCUCUAAGCUCCUCACACAUCUUUACCUGCACAUGAGGAAAAUCACUCCUGUAGAAUGCAGAUGUUCAGAUGGAGAUGAUGCCACAUCUGGUCCAGCUGAUGGAAGGUCUUGAAGUUCUCUGACUGGCCUCGACUGAAGAUGGUCGUCUCACUGGAUUUAAGGUUCAGAUGCUCAGUAACAAACUCCACCAAUGAGCCAACAGGGAAGCUUUAGGUUUAUUAAAUGUUGCUAUGAAGGUUUCGCUGUUUUUCUUUGUGAAUGCAAUGUGCUCCAACUGAAACUUGAAUUAGAACUUAGAAGUAAAUCCUUCCAUCUGAAAGGAUUUAGUUGCAUUAAUAACCUCAUAACAUUCUAAUUUUUAUUCCAGUCUUGGUUGGAAAUAGAAUCUCUGUAUUGAUUCAGGUAAAAACUGAACUUCACAGCAUGUUGGAGCAAAACAACCAGAUGAAAACUGUGAUGGUGUUGGAUUGUCAGACCGUAAUGUUGCAGCUCAAAGCAGCUUUUCUAGCUCAGUUCAUUCUGACAUUCAGCUAUGAAUCAACACAGCAGAUGGUGAUCCAUGCUGUGGAAGUCUCACAUCUCCCGAUUUAAUGGAGCUGCUUUGCACUUUUUAUUCACCAACACUUUAUUUAAUAAAAGUCCCAUCUAGUUUUUAUGAGGAAUGUGAUGUUUUAAUUUCUCUGUGAAUAACUGCAGUCUAAUGCAACAGCUGGAGUUGUAACAUCUGUCCUGAUAUUGAUCAUGAAGUAUUGAUCAGAAUACUUAUGGUUAGCAGUCAUCCCUGAAGUUUUACAUUAAAAUCUUUACUUGUGUUGUGAACUUUGGUAAGAAGCAGAAACUUUUGCGUUGCCAUGGAUACAUGAGUGUUAAAUUCUGUCCAUGUUUCCAUUUUGGGAAAUGCAGUCCAGUUCCAGAAUGUGGAGGAAUUUAGUCUCACAAUCACAGACAACAAAUAUUAUCUGAAAGUUGGGUUAUUGUUGUUUAUCAGCACAAUACAAAGAUUGUUAGAAAUAUUCCAGUUAAGACUCUAGAAUAUCAUGAUUUAUGUAAAUUUACCUCAGUAAUAUGAAUGUUCAGGUUAAGAUUGUACAGUGAUAUUUAUUAUGUAAGUUUAGCUGAUUAAAGUUUAUGACUCUGCACUAAAAUAUUAUUUAAAUUGACAUCAUUAUUAUAAUAUUUAGGGUCAGACCCUACAGUAUUGAGAUUAAGAAAUCAAAUAUUCUAUAAAAUGUAAAUACACUGAACUCAUUUGGAUAUAUUUAAGUGAGACUCUACAAUAUUAUUUGACACAAAUCUGUCUAAAUCAAGAUUUUAAUAAUUUUCAUGCCAAACAUUUACUGGACUGAUUUAAAUAUUAAAAUCACUCCUUUCUAAUCCUCUGCUGUACGUUCAAACUUGAGGCCUUAAAUAGAAGCACACAAGUAUCUGUUUGAAGGAACUUCUGCAGAGUCCUGGUUCUAGAACAUGAUGAUAGAAUUAUAGACAAACUUUAACAAAAGCUGCCUGAGAGUUUACAGGUUUUUAUGUUGGAUUUCUUCAGUAAUUUAAUGAGUUAUCAGCAAUAAUCAAGUGUUUAUUUGAUGAACUUCAUUUCCUAAAACAUCCAGAAUUGGAGCUCAUAUCUUUGGCAGCUGUAAAGUUUCUGCUCCUUCAAAGUUCACAACACAAUGAAUGAAUUCCUAAAACACUCUCAAUGCUGGAGAGCGUUUGUGAUGCUGAAGCAGUGACCAGUUUUUCUGUUUCUUCUCUGGAGAUGCACAAUGAGGGACGUCUGCAGCGACUGAGAAAGAGUCUCACCACAUCCUGACAUGAGGAAAAAGACUUUAUUGAAGACUACAAUGAGAAAAACUAUCAGACAGCAGACGGCUGCAUUCAAGUCUGUAGCUGCUGAAUUCAUGGAUGAAUCAUCUGGCACUAGAGAAGAAGACCAUCAAACAUCCACGUCAGCUGAUGGAGGUCCAAGAGUCUCACCCAACAAACAACCUACAGAGUGAAGACCUCAAAUCUGAUUGGACGGCCUCCUAUUCAGCCAUAUUUUAGACUGUUAGGUUGUUCCAGAUAAGACAAGUACAAGAUACUUCAGAGCCGUUCUACCACGAGCCUGACAGGAAGAACUCCAACAGUUACUGAAUGUUCCUGUGGUCCCCUCAAGGCUACAGGAGGAGCCCUACGAGGACGAGCCGGUACACCUGAUGGCGGCCAGUCGCUGUGGUUCAAAGCCAACACCGACUACGUGGACUUCUACUGGACCACAUGGAGACCUUCAAACCGGACCAACAAGUUCAGCGACUUCCCCGACUCGUGGGUCUGAGAACGCCGCCGAGCCUCGGUCCAGCCGGCCUCCUGUCUGUGGGUGUUUGAGUGCUGAGAGGUUUGUGGAUGCAUGUGAACGUUCUGUGUUGAAACAGCAGCUUUUGACUCAGUAACGCCAGGAAAAACCAAGAGCUCCUUUAUUUGUGACUUCCACUGAAAAACUGAUGAAAAUAAGUUUGCAAGGGUUCUGACUGAUAACAGAUUAUUAAAUAAUGAAAAUAACAGUUUAAAUAUUCCUUUAAACAAUCCUUUUAGGUCUACAUUUCCUUUACACUGACUUCUUGGUAUAUGUACAAGUAUUUUGAGUGGAAUAUACCAUUAAGCCCAAUGUUCAAGGGUUCUUCUGGGAAUAUACCAUUAAACCAACCUUUUAGGUAAAUGUUGCAGGAUGUUGAGUAGAAUAUACCAUCAGAUCAACCUUUUAGGUCUACAUUGUAAGAUUUUAGAGUAGAAUAUUACUCCAAACCAUCCUUUAGGUCUACAUUUAAGGAUUUAAGGACAUUCAAAUAUUUAAGGUGGAAUAUUCCUUUAAACCAACCUAAAUUUCAUGUUUUGAUCAUUAUCAAGUGAGAAACCUCAAUCCAGACUCCUCAUAAUGACGUUUGAGAUUUAUGCUGCCGUUAUUUUUUUAGUCCAGACUAAAUGACAGAAAUCCACAACUGUAAUUUUAUUUCAGGACUUGGUUAUUAAAUGUCAGAACAAUCCAUGUGACUCUAAAAACUCAACAGCUUCACAAACUCUAAGAUUAAAUUCUCCACAAGGAUCCAAAAUAAGUUGGACUUCUAUAUGAGAGCUUUAAUUAUUCUUCAUCUACUUCCUGAAAAGUUUGGUCAAUAAAAAAGACAAAAACUAAUAUUUUCAGCUGAACUAAAGACAGACUUUGUGAUUUUUCUGCUCACAUGUUGUGUUGUUGUAAACUUACUCUUUCAAAUAAAUACCUGCCUAACCCCCUGGAAACCAGCGUUUGUCCUGUUUUUGUGUUGCU
ensembl:lncRNA